AGCAACGAUAAACGAUUCAGAGCGCGGUUCGAUGGCUAUUAUAUUACACUGUCGAAGCCACAGUGUGUCGCGUCGUGUCGCGCUGUUCACGCCUAGUAAAUUUAUGUGCCUGAUAACGAAAAAAAAAAUGGAAAUUUUUUCAACGUUUCAAACCAUUUUUAGGGAAUUUUUUUUUUUUUUUUUGUUUCUUUCGAUUUUUCCUCGGCCGUUCACAGCCGCGCACAAGCGUUUUAUACACCCACGCGUGUAUGACGUUAUUGUACAACACGGUACUGCAUAGCCGUUGGCGCGCGAUGAUAAUACGAUAUUUUCACAUCGUUACAUCGAAAAAUGACGUAUCGGAUUACGUUUUGUUUUUUUUCAUUUUUUUUUUUUUUUUUUUUUUUUGGUGUUUUAUUUGCGGCGGGAACGGCGACGGGGCUCUCACCACCGCACGUUAUUAUUUUAUACGGUCGCGCCGGCGGCCGCCGCGGUUAUCGGCUCGUAUCAUAUAAUAUUAUUUUUACGCGGCUCAUUUUCGUUCCGAGAAAACAAAUCGAUACUAUCGGUACGGUGAUUUUUCGGGGUUUUUUUUUUUUUUGUUUUUUGUUUUUCACGGCACCCGCCGGCCGGUAUCGAUGCGCGAGAAACGCGAAGUUUUCCGCGCAAUUUUUCUGUUUUUGACAGACCGACAGGAAGCGGCUGUACUGUACACGUUUUAAUCUCGCGAAAUUUACACCCCGUACGUCGGGCGAUCCAUUCGAGCGGGUACGCCGCUCCGUCAUCUCGGAGGAGGAAAGUAUUCGCUUUCCCCUCCCCCCCCACCGGUAUUUCGCCGCUAGAAGAACAUUUAAACAACAAGCAGCUCUACGAUUUUAUAUUCCUGUUGCGUGUCACGAUUUUAUUCGGGAACAAAUCG